rnacentral:rRNA from 1 species
UGGGGAAUCUUGCACAAUGGGGGAAACCCUGAUGCAGCGACACCGCGUGAACGAUGAAGCCCUUCGGGGUGUAAAGUUCUUUCGACAGGAACGAUAAUGACGGUACCUGGAGAAGAAGCUGCGGCUAACUACGUGCCAGCAGCCGCGGUAAUACGUAGGCAGCGAGCGUUGUUCGGAGUUACUGGGCGUAAAGAGUGCGUAGGCGGCGAGCCAGGUUUGGUGUGAAAUCUCCCGGCUUAACCGGGAGGGUGCGCCCAAAACUGGUUGGCUGGAGUAUGGGGGAGGAAAGCGGAAUUCCUGGUGUAGCGGUGGAAUGCGUAGAUAUCAGGAGGAACACCUGCGGUGUAGACAGCUUUCUGGACCAAAACUGACGCUGAGGCACGAAAGCGUGGGUAG